rnacentral:rRNA from 2 species
AACUUUCAACAACGGAUCUCUUGGCUCUCGCAUCGAUGAAGAACGCAGCGAAAUGCGAUAAGUAAUGUGAAUUGCAGAAUUCAGUGAAUCAUCGAAUCUUUGAACGCACCUUGCGCUCCUUGGUAUUCCGAGGAGCAUGCCUGUUUGAGUGUUAUG